rnacentral:tRNA from 1 species
GCUCAGUUGGUAGAGCAUGGUGUUUGCAACACCAAUAUGGUGUGUGCAAUGCCAGGGUUGUGGGCUCGAUUCCCAC